CAAAUUCAUAGGACACCACCAUCACUAAAAGCAAAGCGGCUCAAUUCUUUAAUGGAGGACAGCAGAGAUGUUGCACAGUAAGGGCAAGAACGCAGGACAAAGACACAAGAAAGACAAUGAGACAAACAGACCCAGUUCCUGCUGCUGUGAAGGUCAUCACACCACUGAUCUACUGACCGUCCUUCUACGAGAUGCCCAGCCAAUGCCUGACCAGCAACCACCGGCGGAACCAGUUUAAUUCGCUUACCCGUUCACAUACCCCGAUAGUAUUUAUAUAUAUAAAUAUAUAUGUAUCUCUCUCAAGGGUUUUUCCUUGGACUAGCCAGGAGGGUUUUUCUCCUAGGGGGUUUUUCAUCCCCUGGAGAGUCCACCACCUUUGGCUUAACCUACUACUUUACUGUAUAUGUUACAUUAUUACUAUGCUCGCUUUUCUGUGCUUUUUUACAUUUAUUAAUGUAAAGCUGCUUUGAAACAAUUGGCAAUUGUCAAAAGUGCUAUAUAAAUAAAAUUGAAUUGAAUAUUUAAUGUUAUAUUUAAUUAGACUGAGUGUAUAUUUACAAACCAUAGUGAC